CGUGAAGGUUUCUUACGCCAUAGUAUGUUAUUGUCGCUCAUUCUCAUGGACAUGGAUGGGUUUGUUUCAAGUUUGAAUUUAAAACUUGUUUGAAUUCAAGUUUGGAUGAGAUCGGUUAGGUUUAAAAAUUGGUUUUGAACUAACCUCUUAUCCUUAUCUAUCUAUUGACGCCAACACCUUGAGAAGGAUUUUUUUUUGUGCGACAAACCUUUUGAUUUUCACCAUGAAAUCAUUUUUUGAGUGUGGGCGUGAAGAUUGGUUUUGUUUUGAUUUUAAAUUCAACUCGAAUUUUGAAUUCGAGUUUGAAUCAAACUACGAUAUCUUUAUCCCACCUUAACCACUUAUGGAUGCCAAAAAUAAAAGAGGUUUUCUUUUUGGCGUGCGUGAGAGAGAGCUUUGAAAAUAUUUUCACCGUGAGAAAGUUUUCUCUGAAGAAAAUUGGGCAUGGGCACUUAUGGGGCAUAGGUCUUUGGUGUGGAAACCCUAGGGUUUGGGUCUAGGAUAUCGGGAAGAGAGAAAAGUGAGAAGGGAGACAGUUUUUUCUUCCCAUCUUCUCCACCUCAUUCUCCUCCUAAAUGUCCUUUUUAACCUUUGGAAAUGUUCAAGAGUUUUGAAGGAAAGAAUCGGAUCAGCCUUCGACACGGACUUUGCACGAGCUAGCACUCCUGAGAAGAUCGAUUGGAUCGGAGAUUUGAGUGAACGUCCUGUAGAGAUUGGACAUCCUGUGCGACUGCGAGCGACGA
rnacentral:lncRNA from 1 species